rnacentral:lncRNA from 1 species
GGUUUUGUGUCUCAGGGUCUGAUUUCGAGCCUGGUUCAUAACCGGCCCUUUGCGAGUAUCAAUAUCUAGUUUUUCUAAGUAACUUUUUUCUAGAAUUUACUCUUAACUUUCUUCUUAAGAUUCUUAUAUCAUUUAUUUUCCCAAUCUACUUUGAUUUGUCUUACUUAUGAUACUACAAAGUAAGUAGAAGUCACCUUUCUAAAAGGCAGCAUUGGUACCUUUUAAUUUUUCUACCCCUUUGGCUAUUAAUUAUAUUUCUAAGAUAAUUUUUUCUAAU